rnacentral:rRNA from 1 species
GGGGACCCGCACAAGUGGUGGAGCAUGUGGUUUAAUUCGAAGAUACGCGAAGAACCUUACCUAGCCUUGACAUAUAUUAGAACAGACCAGAGAUGGACUGGUGCCUUCCGGAGCUUUUAUACAGGUGCUGCACGGCUGUCGUCAGCUCGUGUCGUGAGAUGUUGGGUUAAGUCCCGCAACGAGCGCAACCCUCGUCCUUAGUUGCCAGCAGGUUAAGCUGGGCACUUUAAGGAGACUGCCUUCGCAAGGAGGAGGAAGGUGAGGACGACGUCAAGUCAUCAUGGCCCUUAUGGCUAGGGCUACACACGUGCUACAAUGGGGCGUACAGAGAGUUGCGAUACCGCGAGGUGGAGCCAAUCUCAUAAAGCGUCUCUCAGUUCGGAUUGAAGUCUGCAACUCGACUUCAUGAAGCUGGAAUCACUAGUAAUCGUAGAUCAGCAAUGCUACGGUGAAUACGUUCCCGGGUCUUGUACUCACCGCCCGUCAC